UUUAUUCCAUUUAAUUAGGGUUUUAAUUAGAAACCCUAGCUAGGAACUCCUCUCUUCUUUUCCCUCUCCGAAACCUACCUGCUCCGCUCCAAUGAGGCGAUCGAAGAAGAAGAUCAAUGGAGAAUAGCCUAAACCCUGCUGCUGCCGAUUCUCUCCUCUCUAAAGAGUUUGUCUUUUUCAUUUCUAAAAUCCCUACAUCAAAAAAGCUACCAUUGUAGUAGGAGAAGUAUCAAGCUUCUCUCUAUUCGUCUGUUAUCCGUGAGGCUAAGGUGCAACAGAAUUUAUCCUGACGACCAUUCCUUAAAAUCGAGCUUGUAUGUAAUUGGCAGUCUCUUCCUUUUUUCAGGCUUUUGCAAAUUGAUUCAAUUAAAUGUUACCCCUUAAGCUUGUAUGAAGACAAAUUACACCGGCUCAUUGGUUUAACUAAAGGGAUGCUAUAUCAGCAUAUAAAGCUGAGGCUCUGUCAUUGUAAAAUCAGCUUAGACAAUUGCAGACUCAAUAUGAUAUGCUCACUGGACAUGCUUCAACGUUGAUUCAAGGAAGAAGGGCACGAGUUGCUGCAAGAUCUGUUCAAGGAUGAUAGACUAUCAGUCAGAAAUUUAGAGGGGUUGCUUAUGACCUAUCGGCCACUAGGUUAUGCAUUUCUCGCACUUCACUUAGAGAGUCUUUCUGCAAAGACUUGAUCUUUAGGUGCAUGUCUCAGCAACACAAAAUGAGGGUUUCUCUCGUUGUAGAACUUAACCAAACGUCUCACGACAUCUUUAUGUCUUUUUACUCUCUGAUUAUGCCUCAUAGUCUUAAAGGAUCUAGAUGAGUAAGUUAUUUUUUUAUUCUGUAAAUCUUGCUGGAAAAAAUUGCUGCUGUAGACCUGAAACUCUAAUCAAUGUAUGUGAAUUAGGGAAAUGUGUCUCUGGAA